rnacentral:rRNA from 1 species
AGAACGAACGCUGGCGGCAUGCCUAAUACAUGCAAGUCGAACGAAGGCUUCGGCCAUAGUGGCGCACGGGUGCGUAACGCGUGGGAAUCUGCCCCUUGGUUCGGAAUAACAGUUGGAAACGACUGCUAAUACCGGAUGAUGACGAAAGUCCAAAGAUUUAUCGCCCAGGGAUGAGCCCGCGUAGGAUUAGCUAGUUGGUGAGGUAAAGGCUCACCAAGGCGACGAUCCUUAGCUGGUCUGAGAGGAUGAUCAGCCACACUGGGACUGAGACACGGCCCAGACUCCUACGGGAGGCAGCAGUAGGGAAUA